AGUAAUGCGUGACCAACCUGCCCCAUGCUCCAGAAUAGCUCUUGGAAACGGGUGGUAAUGCUGGAUGCUCCAACUUGACGCAUGUCUUGUUGGGAAAGUGUUUAGUGGCAUGGGAUGGGGUCGCGUCCUAUCAGCUUGUAGGCGGGGUAAUGGCCCACCUAGGCUUCGACGGGUAGCCGGCCUGAGAGGGCGGACGGCCACAUUGGGACUGAGAUACGGCCCAGACUCCUAUGGGAGGCAGCAGCA
rnacentral:rRNA from 1 species